rnacentral:rRNA from 1 species
CUGUGAGGCAUGCUGGAGGUAUCAGAAGUGCGAAUGCUGACAUAAGUAACGAUAAAGCGGGUGAAAAACCCGCUCGCCGGAAGACCAAGGGUUCCUGUCCAACGUUAAUCGGGGCAGGGUGAGUCGACCCCUAAGGCGAGGCCGAAAGGCGUAGUCGAUGGGAAACGGGUUAAUAUUCCCGUACUCGGUGUUACUGCGAAGGGGGGACGGAGAAGGCUAGACCGGCCGGGCGACGGUUGUCCCGGUUCAAGCGUGUAGGUGGGAAGAAUUGGUAAAUCCGUUCUUCUGUGAACACUGAGGCGUGAUAACGAGGCACUACGGUGCUGAAGUGGUUGAUGCCCUGCUUCCAGGAAAAGCCUCUAAGCAUCAGGUAACAGUGAAUCGUACCCCAAACCGACACAGGUGGUCAGGUAGAGAAUACUCAGGCGCUUGAGAGAACUCGGGUGAAGGAACUAGGCAAAAUGGUGCCGUAACUUCGGGAGAAGGCACGCUGGCAUUAGGUGAAGGGACAUGCGCCCGGAGCCGAAGCCAGUCGCAGAUACCAGCUGGCUGCAACUGUUUAAUAAAAACACAGCACUGUGCAAACACGAAAGUGGACGUAUACGGUGUGACGCCUGCCCGGUGCUGGAAGGUUAAUUGAUGGGGUUAGCGGCAACGCGAAGCUCUUGAUCGAAGCCCCAGUAAACGGCGGCCGUAACUAUAACGGUCCUAAGGUAGCGAAAUUCCUUGUCGGGUAAGUUCCGACCUGCACGAAUGGCGUAAUGAUGGCCAGGCUGUCUCCACCCGAGACUCAGUGAAAUUGAACUCGCUGUGAAGAUGCAGUGUACCCGCGGCAAGACGGAAAGACCCCGUGAACCUUUACUAUAGCUUGACACUGAACCUUGAACCUUGAUGUGUAGGAUAGGUGGGAGGCUGUGAAGUGUGGACGCCAGUCUGCACGGAGCCAUCCUUGAAAUACCACCCUUGAAUGUUUGAUGUUCUAACGCAGGCCCGUCAUCCGGGUCGCGGACAGUGUCUGGUGGGUAGUUUGACUGGGGCGGUCUCCUCCCAAAGCGUAACGGAGGAGCACGAAGGUUAGCUAAUCACGGUCGGACAUCGUGAGGUUAGUGCAAUGGCAUAAGCUAGCUUGACUGCGAGAGUGACAGCUCGAGCAGGUACGAAAGUAGGUCAUAGUGAUCCGGUGGUUCUGAAUGGAAGGGCCAUCGCUCAACGGAUAAAAGGUACUCCGGGGAUAACAGGCUGAUACCGCCCAAGAGUUCAUAUCGACGGCGGUGUUUGGCACCUCGAUGUCGGCUCAUCACAUCCUGGGGCUGAAGUAGGUCCCAAGGGUACGGCUGUUCGCCGUUUAAAGUGGUACGCGAGCUGGGUUUAGAACGUCGUGAGACAGUUCGGUCCCUAUCUGCCGUGGGCGUUGGAAGAUUGAAAGGGGCUGCUCCUAGUACGAGAGGACCGGAGUGGACGCACCACUGGUGUUCGGGUUGUCAUGCCAAUGGCACUGCCCGGUAGCUAAGUGCGGAAGAGAUAACCGCUGAAAGCAUCUAAGCGGGAAACUUGCCUUGAGAUGAGUCUUCCCUUGUCCCUUGAGGAUACUGAAGGAACGUUCAAGACGAGGACGUGGAUAGGCUGGGUGUGUAAGCGUAGCGAUACGUUGAGCUAACCAGUACUAAUGAACCGUGAGGCUUAACCU